GAUUAACUUCAUGGUGCCUACAGACAUAGGAUUGGGGACCCCUGUUUUAUAGGGUUUAUUCAUAUAUUUAUCGCUUUAAGUGGAGAAGAUUGACUCGGUGUAUCCCUCGAAAAUGUAGAGUGGAUAUUUCCGGACAUUAUUCUACUAUAUCUAACAUCAAGGAUUUAAAGAUAUCUCAUUAUCGAAAUAAGAAAACUUUAAUUUAAUUGAAUUUCUUUGAAAAUCAAAAUGAUUUUAAUAUCAAUCCGUGAUCGUCAUUGAUUUCUAAUGAAAAAUUAAAUGUCUCUUGAUAAAAAUGAACAUAUAAAAUUUAUUAAGAAAGAUGAUAAAUCGUCGGUAUUCUGUGAAUAACAAUCAAACGAUGUAUAUGCGAGGGUCAGCAUACGUUGGUCUAAAAAUAUUCAAGACGAAUUCACCUCACUUUAUGAGAAGAAUACCGCUAUUGUUUCUAGUUCCUGAUGAACUCAUUGUUAGUCGGGGUACUACUAUGUAACACCACAGAGAGAGAGAGAGAGAAAGAGAGAGCGAACAUAGUGCUUAAUGUCAAGCACCUAACUCUACAGUAACUCCGAAAGACUACCGCAAUUUCUUCUUUAUUUUUUUCUACCCUUAAGCUAUGAUAUAUUUCUACUUGCACAUUUUAUAGUUAUUACUCAGUAUAAAGAAAUUUUUCAUGUAACAACAUAGACAUAGGUAUGUAUUUAUUGCGAAAAAGGAAAAUAAGGCAGAUUAAACGUGAGAGAAUAUCAAAUUGAUCAUUACUUAUGUGCCAAUUGAUGUAAUAUAUAUACCUACUUAUUAUUAUUUAAUAAUUAUAAAUCAGUUCGAUAUUUAUUCGAUAAUAUAUAUAUAUAUAUAUAUAUAUAUAUAUAUAUAUAUAUAUAUGUAUAUUAUAUAUAUAUUAUAUAUAAAAUCGAUCCGAUCGAAUGAUUUUAUAAGAUUGGAAAAUUUCGAUCAUAAAAAUGAUGAAAGAAUAGAUUUUCAGUAUUAUAAACGUAGGAUAUGGGUUAUAGGCUUCAAUGAAUACUUUUAAAUUGAUCGUAGUUAAUCAUAGUUGAAUUCAUAUUCGUAGGCGUUAAGUUCGUAGAGAUUUCUAUGGCCUUGCUCGAGUUUCAUUCAAAUAAUAGUAGUACACAAUUCUUUAUAUAACGAUUCGAUUAAAAAUUUAUUAUAUUAUCGUAUAAGAUCAGUUUUUUAAAAUACGAUCGUUUCGUUCUUCCUCGACUAAUCGUUGUUAAUUUAUAAAAUAUAGAAAUGUGUAGACUUAACGAUAAUUGAUCGGAAAUCCAAAAUAUUGAUACGAUUUAUAUAUAUAUAUUUGUGUAUGUGUGUAUAUAUACACAUGUAUGUGUAUGCAAUUGUAUAUAAGACCAUCGACAAUGUCAUAACUAUUAUUUUCUACCAUUGACGAUCGUAGUAUCAAUCAUUGAUAAAUAUAUAGACGUUUAUAUGUAAUUGGAGAUAAGAAUGAGAGCGACUAAUUUAUCGCUAAAAUAAUUAAUGUGAUUUGGUAUAAUUUUAACAAUCGUGCUUACGAUUAGAAUGAUCCAUAAAGAACGAAAGUUGAUACUUUUGAUAUCAGACUAUUGACAUAUGUCAAUGUCAUGGAAUAAGAUUCAUUGAAAUUAUUAGGAUAUAAUUAGUCAUAGAAUUAAGCAAUAAUAUUUCUUAAAUAAUAUCAUUAAAUUUUUCUCAUACAUACAGACGUAUUGACGUAUAUACAUACAUACAUACACAAAUACAUACACACAAAAGACUCUUCGUAUAUUCAUAAAUUAUUUUUUAAUUAUCAUUUUUUAAAACGAUAUAAGUACAUUCGAUUAUCAUAAGUAUUCGAUUAUUGCCUUAGGACAAACUAGAAAAGACAAUAUUACUUUAGCAAUCGAAAGAGAAUAUCAUCGCGUGCACGUUACUUCCUAAAAGCAUUUCUAAGUCCUAGUUAUCGAUCGUCAGAAGCGGUACCCCCAAAUGUAUUUAUCUGUGUGGGUCACACUUUGUACACAUGGAUAUAUAUAUAUAUAUAUCUUUCUCUCUCUCUUUUGCUUCUUUUAUCUGUCCUACAUUUAUCCAUCUCUAUAUAAAAGAAGGUACUCGUUUACACGCGCUCGAGAGAGAGAGAUUUGACGCAUCCACGAUAUAAGUAUAGUCAAUUACUGAAUGAGGAAAUCCAAGUAUUUUCAUCUUGAGAUACAUUUAUAUAUAUAUACAUAUAUAUAUAUAUAUAUAUAUAUAUAUAUAUAUAAAUAUCUUAUUUUGAACAUAUAUAUGUAGAUGUAACACGAUUGCCAUUUUCUAUAUGUAUGUUAUAUACGUACCUACGCUUGUACGUACAUAUAUGUAAAUGCUUUUUUGCUAUAUACUCUUGCAUAUGUAUGUAUCUACUUAUCUUCGUUAAAUAUAUAUAUAUAUAUUAUUCAUUCAUUCAUUCAUUCAUUCAUUCAUAAAAUUAAUCAAGAACAUAUUAUAUUUAUCUUUCGUAAUAUAUCGUCCUCUUUGAUGUUUAUAUUUACACCAUCGUUUUAAUGUAUCUAUUUCAUUUUAAUGACGAAGAUAUCUGUGAUCUCGCUUGUAAUUUCACUAAUAAGUAAUACGUUCAGUUACGGACGAUCAUAAUACGUAUCCCGGCACGUUUUAAAAGUUGCAGAAUAUAAAUCUGUGAAUAAAAUUAUUAUAUGUAUUUAUGUACAUAUUUUUCCACGAUAAGGAAAAAAUUAAAAGGUGUUGUUUUUUCUUUUUUCUUUUUUUAUUUUUUUUAAUAGAAAUAUGUAUUAUAACAAUGACAAUUGAUAUAUAUAUAUAUAUAUAUAUAUAUAUAUAUAUAUAUAUAUAUACAUAGUAAUUUAAAUAUUAUCAAGUAAAUGUUUUAUUUUGCAUUCGCAAAUUUUCACAUGCCCUUUUACAAUUUCAAAUCUUAUAAUUUUUUCAAUUCAUAAAAAUAUUUUAUUGAGUGUUUUAUUCAGUCGGAUUUUGAACUACAGUAAAUUGUUUUGCCUUUUCAGUGAAAGAUUCAUUCAAAUUUAUUAUUGCUUCUGAUAAUUUUAAAUUGAUAAUCUAUAUUUUGAAGUUUUUAUUCGUAAGAGAAUUUCCAUUCUAAGAGAAUGGAAAACGUCAGGAUUUAUUUUUAAUUUCUGUUAUUGCUAUCAAUCAGAGAUCCAGAAUACAGGUGUAAACUUGGAUUGGGUGAUAAAUUAACUGUAUAUUUAUUAUUCAUCGAUUGAUCUACAUCAUAGAUAUGAAAUAUCAUUCUGUGGUAUAGAACUAGACAAAUAACGAUUUAAAGCAUCAAUUAAUCGUUUCAAGGAAACAAUAUAUGAUUUAGAGGAAAAUUUAUUAAUGAUUUCUUUGAUAGUGAUUUUAAAUAAUAAAUUUAAUUUUGCGGUCAGAUUUAAUAAGAUUUUGAGGAUUAAAUUUAAAUUGUAGUUAACGGAUUUAAAAAUGCAGUUAAAGAAUUUAAAAUGGAGCUAAUUUCUACCAUAUCAAUAAUACAAUUGCUAUUGGAAACUUCUAAAACAUUAUUAAUUUGUAUAACCUGACCUCUCCAAAGUUAUAAAUCUUGAUAAAUGACAAUGAUCCUUUUGAGAAUACCUACAUCAAACUUGAUGUAGCUUGAGUGUGAGGGAUAAGGUGUGAUCUAAGUUAAAGUUAAUCCUGUAGUUUGAUUAUAAUUCUUUGUUGCAAUUCUACUAUAAUAUUCUCGAACACUCGUUAAUGACUUUAUUGCAUAUCUUGUUGCUAUUAUGCUAUUUAUCAUAAAUAUAUCAAAAUUCUUAGUAAUUUUUGUGUAGUAGAAUCGAUACUUGAAAUGAAUUUAAAAAUCUAAUCUAUCUUCAUCGUAAAUCUAAUCUAUCUUGAUCGUAAAAUGUAAUAUUUCUAUAUUUUGAAUUUUCUUUCUCAAGGUCAAUUUUUAAGAUUUCGAAAAGUUUCGUGUUUUUUUUUUUUUUUUUAUAUAUAUUUUUUUUAUUUUUGUUUCUAAAUUCUUAUAAAAUCCCAUUGUAAGAUUAUCUUCUCGUCCAAUGAUAGAAUUUUAAAAAGGUAUUUUGAAAAAUGAGAGUCCAUCCUAAUGUAUUACCAGUCAUAUGUUUUUAUUAUCAUUAAUAUUAUAUAGAAAUUGUAUAGAAUAAAUAGGAGAAAAAUAUUUGACUUGAAAGAAAAAAAUAUUAUUGUGAUUUUUUUUUAUUUUUUUUUUUUUUUAAACACUUAUGAUACAUAUACCAGUUAAAGCGAAGUAUCGUACCAGCGAAAAAGACCUCCGUUAUCUCGAAAUCAAAAAACAAAUAUGGCUGCAUCGACUAUAUAUGUAUGUCUCGCAGAAAAAAGAAAUAAGAUCAUAUUCUCGAUGUAAAUUUGUAAAAUCGUAUCGCAAUGAUAAAACUGAUAAAGAUAAAGGAGUUUGUCUAUCCGACAAAGACAAUAUCAACACGAACCGAGAUAAUCUUUCGAACAACGUGAUUUCUUCUUACACAGUAUGUGUAUAUAUAUAUAUAUAUGUUAUGUAUAUAUAUAUUAUGUAUAUAUAUAUACAUAACACAUAUAUAUAUAUAUAUAUAUAAACAUGUGAUGUUACAAAAGACUGGCUUAGUCAAAGACAAUAGAUAAAGCGACGAUUGAAUAAACAGAAAAUAAAAGUUUCUCUAACGCGAAUCGGUUUUUAAAGAUUAAAAAAAAAAAGAAAGGAAGAAAAAAAUAAAAAAAAGAAAGAACCUAUUCAAACGUAUCUAAUUUAUCAUUCCAUUCUUAUGUUAUUUUCUUUCGAAAUUUCGAAUGUGUUUCACUUUUUAAUAUAUCCCGAAAGAAAAUCUUCGUUUAAUUUUGUCGACGCACUAUUUUCACUUUUCUCUAAAUCAAUCGUUAUACUUCAAAUCUUAAAUAUCAUUUUCUAUAAACCUCAUCUAAUUUAUUAAUAUAACUAAUGAUCGUGGCUCCGUCUUCUUUUUUCUUCCCCUUUUUAAUUUAUAAUAUCUAUUUUGUUACGUCGAAUGAUCGAACCGAUAUACAUAUGU